AAAACAAUUCAAGCCAGCUCCAUCACCUUCACUUGCUCUUCCAUGGACGUUCA
rnacentral:sRNA from 1 species